rnacentral:rRNA from 1 species
GUCGUAACAAGGUUUCCGUAGGUGAACCUGCGGAAGGAUCAUUAUCACACUAUCCAAACCUUUACUUCCCCGUGAAGUUGGGCCUAGAGCCGACCGUCGAUACACUGACGGCAGGCACCUGGCACCAAACCACAAAAAAUAAUCUGGUAACUCGGUGGGCCCCAGCUGUCAAAGGCUGGCCUGGCUAGCCGAGGAACCGCCCAAAACUGAACCAAACUAAUAACUGAAUGUAACUGCUACUAGAGCGCCUUCGUGGUGCUCUUCUAGCUGUCAAAUCUAUUACAACUUUUAGCAAUGGAUGUCUUGGGUCCCACAACGAUGAAGAACGCAGCGAAAUGCGAUACGUAAUGCGAAUUGCAGAACUUCGUGAAUCAUCAAAAUUUUGAACGCACAUUGCGCUCUUGAGUACUCUCAAGAGCAUGUCUAUCUGAGUGACUCGUAACCCCACUCAGCUGCUGACAAUUCACUUUGUCCAGCAAGCUGGAAUCUGACGGUGUUUUGCAAAGAACUCCGUUCAAAUUCAUUGGUUUGUCGUUGACGCCCCUCGCUGGCCGAACGCAGAUCACAACUAGAUUUGGUAGGUGCACUUCAUGUGUAUUUUAGAAUCUUGUAGUGACUUGCCAAGGACGAUGAGAGCGACCUCAGCAGACUGGGCGACCGGCGUAGCACCUGGCCUCGCUCGAAAUGAACUCAAUUAUGGUUCUUAGAUUAGAUAAGACUACCCGCUGAAUUUAAGCAUAUAACUAAGCGGAGGAAAAGAAACUAACAAGGAUUCCCCUAGUAACGGCGAGUGAAGCGGGAAGAGCUCACCAUGUGAAUCUCUAUAACCAGCAAUGGUAUAGCGAAUUGUGGUCUGGAGAAGUAUUGUCGGCCGUGAAUCCGGGCCAAGUCUCUUGGAAAAGGGCAGCUGAGAGGGUGAAACUCCCGUUCUUGCCUGGAAUCAUUGCGCUCUGGCACAUGCUUUCUACGAGUCGAGUUGUUUGGGAUUACAGCUCAAAGUAUGUCGUAACUUCGAUAUAAAGCUAAAUAUUGGUGGGACACCGAUAGUGUACAAGUACCGUGAGGGAAAGAUGCAAAGAACUUUGAAAAGAGAGUUAAAGAGUACCUGAAAUUGUUAAAAGGGAAGCGAAGGAAACCAGUGUUUGGCGAAUCCAUUCUUCCCAAGCUACUUGUAGUUUGGGCGCUGUGGUUAGCAAUAGUCAGCAUUGGCCUAAUCUGGGUCAAACGUUUGGUGGGUAGGCGGCUCUUCGGAGUUAGUGCCCAUCUUUCAUGCUCUGGAUUGGGCUGAGGUCAGUCACUCUGUGCUCGUGAUGCUGGCAAAAUGGUUUUCUUUACCCCGUCUUGAAACACGGACCAAGGAGUCUAACAUAUGUGCAAGUACGUCAGUGGCAAACUGAUAUGCGUAAUGAAAGUAACAGUGGUAGGAACCUUCGGGUGCACUAUCCGCCGGCCACCAGCCUCCGGGCGAAAGGUCUGAGUGUGAGCAUACAUGUUGGGACCCGAAAGAUGGUGAACUAUGCGUGA